GUCAUGGAGAAGCACACUAAUAUUCCUUUGCAGCAAGGAGACAGGAUAUGAGCCCAGGCUCCCCCAUCUCUGUGACAUGAUAAGGAGAACAGCAGUACCAGACCAGUGGCCAGGCCAGAUAAACCAUGCUAAGCUGCUUUUUAGUUAAAACCCAGAACCCCAGCAACAAACUGGAAAGAAAAAUGGAGGGCUUAGAAAAGGACCAUCCUUACUCGGAAUCUUCCCAGCAGCAUCCACCAGCCAGAGAGGAACACACUGUGCCAGGGGCCAUCACGCACCGCCUGCGAGACCGAGAGCUGCUGCGGAAAAGGAAAGCGGAGGCACAGGAGAAAGAUACUGUCCAGUGGUGGUACCUCUCUGGAGGCAUGACUUUGCCCACUCACCUGCUGGCAAGACACUUGACUUUAGAGAGCAAGGUACGAGCAAAGGGCCAAAGAGGGGCCGAGGAGCUGGGAGAAGAAGAGGCCGACAGCGGGGUACAGAGCCAGAGCCUCAGCCUGAAGUGCAAGAGGAGCUGGAGACGGAGCCCCCAGAGAAAGCACAGGCAUCUCCAGGGCACCACGAGGAGGAGCCCGCCCUGUCUGUGACUCAAGAGCUGUCUGGUGGGACUCAGCAGGAGGUGGUGGAGGGCCCACGAGCUGAGGAUACUCUGCAUCCAGCAGGUAAGUGGUUAGAGACCCUCAGGGAUCAGAGCAUAUUCCCAGAGAACUCUCCCCGGGUGCAUCCUUGGGGAGGAGAGGAACUGCCCAGCCAGGCAGUGGAGCAGUGACUGGCUAGCUGCAGAGCCUUUUCCUCGCUCAAGCCUGCACUUGGACACUGCAGUGACAGAUACAGCAACCUCCUGGCACCCCACUUGCUGAGCCAGUCUGUUCAAAACAGCAACCCCUGGGAAGGCCCCGCUUCCCUGGCCACAAGUGCCCCAAGGCGGGAGUGGAGCUGAUGGCUCUGUCCAGGCCUUUGGGGAAUUUCUCUACCCUGGAGGUCCCCGCAGCAGGGGUGUCCCAGACAAUCAGUGCAGAGGGGGCAGAGCCGAGCAGGGAACUGGGCCUGGGCAACAAGAAGGGGAUCCCGCCAAGUCCAGACCCAAGAGGAACCCAUCCAUCACCAGUGCAGCCUGGAAAUGGCAGGUAUGGAGAUUCUGGGGCCCAAGGCUCAGAGCUGUAACAAGGAAUUUUUGUGCCCAAGGCAAAGGCCGGUUCCAGGCUCUUCAACGGCAAUUCGGCGGUGGGUCCCUGAGUCCCUGUAGGAGACCAAUUCAGUUGCAUGUCCUUCCCUCCGAGAGGGACUCAGGGACCCGCCGCCGAAUUGCUGCCGAUCACGGUAGAGCUGUGCCCCUCCGCUUUGCGUGCCCGAGGCAAGUACCUCACUCACCUCGCCCUUGUUACAGCACUGCCAAAGGUUCUCCCCAUAGGUGCCCCAUGGGACAGCUACAGAGAUAACAGGGUCCCUGUAUUACCUGGGCCUCUUCCUGGCUCACAAGGAACUCACUGGGACUAGCGCUAUCGACACCAGGCCGUUCAUGUUUAUUCCACAGGGCGCUUCCUGGAGAUUGGGCUGAGAUUCCUAGAGGUGGCUAUGGGAUUUGGG
ensembl:lncRNA